UACGAAGGGGGCUAGCGUUGCUCGGAAUCACUGGGCGUAAAGGGUGCGUAGGCGGGUUUUAAGUCAGGGGUGAAAUCCUGGAGCUCAACUCCAGAACUGCCUUUGAUACUGGACGAUCUCGAGUCCGGGAGAGGUGAGUGGAACUGCGAGUGUAGAGGUGAAAUUCGUAGAUAUUCGCAAGAACACCAGUGGCGAAGGCGGCUCACUGGCCCGGUACUGACGCUGAGGUGCGAAAGCGUGGGGAGCAAACAGGG
rnacentral:rRNA from 1 species